ACUCGGCAAACGUUGUCUUGCCGUUAAACGCUAUUUAAAAAUAGGUGUUGGUGGUAGAAAGGUUGAAAGUUUAGGGUUGUAUGUAUUUUUCAAUGCUAAAUCAU